AUGUAGUAUAAUUACAUUGUUCAUGAACCUCAUUUAACCAUUACGCAACAACUAUAAAGAUAGCCACCUAUGAAUGUUGCACAGUUGUCAACCAGCAUCAUGAAGCUUUCAAAGUUUUUAAUCAAUUAUAUAGAAUGCAUUGUUUGAUUUGAUUUUUCCGUCAGUUCAUGGUGAAAUAUUUAUCACAAUGAUCUGGGCCACAGAAUGCCAUCUUACAAGGAGGAGG
rnacentral:lncRNA from 1 species